GAUGAACACUGGCGGCGUGCUUAACACAUGCAAGUCGAACGGUGAAAGAGAGCUUGCUCUCUGGAUCAGUGGCGAACGGGUGAGUAACACGUGAGCAAUCUGCCCCUGACUCUGGGAUAAGCGCUGGAAACGGCGUCUAAUACCGGAUACGAGCUGCGAAGGCAUCUUCAGCAGCUGGAAAGAACUUCGGUCAGGGAUGAGCUCGCGGCCUAUCAGCUAGUUGGUGAGGUAACGGCUCACCAAGGCGUCGACGGGUAGCCGGCCUGAGAGGGUGACCGGCCAAAUGGGGAAUGAGACACGGCCCAGACCCCUACGGGGGGCAGGAGUGGGGAAUUUUGCAAAAGGGGGGAAAGCCUGAUGGAGCAACGCCGGGGGGGGGAAGACGGCCUUCGGGUUGUAAACCUUUUUUAGCAGGGAAGAAGCGAAAGGGCCGGUACCUGCAAAAAAAACACCGGCUAACUAGGU
rnacentral:rRNA from 1 species